rnacentral:rRNA from 1 species
AGCAGCCGCGGUAAUUCCAGCUCCAAUAGCGUAUAUUAAAGUUGUUGCAGUUAAAAAGCUCGUAGUUGAAUUUCGAGAUCAAAUUGUUGGUCGUGCCUCGGUACGUACUGGCAUUAUUGAUUUCUCCCUUCUGAAGAACCUUGAUGUCAUUAAUUUGGUGUCUUGGGGAAUCAGGACCGUUACUUUGAAAAAUUAGAGUGUUUAAAGCAGGCUCACGCUUGAAUACAUUAGCAUGGAAUAAUGAAAUAGGACGUUUGAUUCUAUUUUGUUGGUUUCUAGGAUCGACGUAAUGAUUAAUAGGGAUAGUUGGGGGCAUUAGUAUUCAAUUGUCAGAGGUGAAAUUCUUGGAUUUAUUGAAGACUAACUGCUGCGAAAGCAUUUGCCAAGGAUGUUUUCAUUAAUCAAGAACGAAAGUUAGGGGAUCGAAGACGAUCAGAUACCGUCGUAGUCUUAACCAUAAACUAUGCCGACUAGGG